UAUCCGUUGGUGAACCAGCGGAGGGAUCAUUACAGAGUUGCAAAACUCCCAAACCAUUGUGAACGUUACCUAUCCCGUUGCUUCGGCGGGCGGCCCGGGCCCCGCGCCCGGCGCCCCCCGGCCCCCCGUGGGCGCCCGCCGGAGGUAAACCAAACCCUUGAAUUGCAUGGCCUCUCUGAGUCUUCCGUACUGAAUAAGUCAAAACUUUCAACAACGGAUCUCUUGGUUCUG
rnacentral:misc_RNA from 1 species